GGAGAGAUGGCUGAGUGGUUGAUAGCUCCGGUCUUGAAAACCGGUAUAGUUCUAGCAACUAUCGAGGGUUCGAAUCCCUCUCUCUCCU
rfam:Hordeum vulgare subsp. vulgare, WGS project CAJW01000000 data, contig: morex_contig_402633